CAGGCGCUCGGGCCGCAAGGGAGCAGGGAGCCCUGCCAGCUGGGCCGCCCGAGGGGCGUUGCGGGGCUCCGGGCGGGGCCGACCCGGGGGGCUGCGCCGGGCCCCACCAGCCUUGCGCCUUUUUCGCUCGGUCUCCUUGGCCUCCCGCUCCUGCGACGCCGCUUUCCUUUUCUCUUGCUCCCGAGCUCGGACCUCGGCCAGGGGCCCCGCCCGCCAGUUGGUCGCCUCCUGCAGCACCCUGGAGGCCCAGGGCCGGCGGGGCGGCGGCUGUGGGGAUCCCGGGCGCGGCCCACACCUGGGACAAUGAGCAGGAACCCAGGGUUUCAUGAUGUUGCCCAGGCUGAUGCUGAACUCCUGAGCUCAAGCAAUUCACUUGCCUUGGCCUCCCAAAGUACUGGCAUUACAAGCGUGAGCCACCACACCUGGCUGAGUUUUUUUUUCCUCUUUUUAACUUCUACCCCAGAGCCUAAUCCAGUACCUAAAGUGUGAAGGCUAAAUUAGAAAAUCUAUAUAAAAAUGCUUGUAAACCAUAAUACAUUUACAAGUAAGUAGAAUAUGACAUGUUAUUUUAAAUUUAAUGGAAUUAGACUCCUUAUUUUUGUUUAAGAUUAUCCUGAUUAGUCAGAAUUGGCUCCCUUGCCUGGGAGACCAACUGCGAAUCGUUUUAGUACUUUGGUCGGUUUUCUUUUUGAAAACCUGAAAGAAACAACCUGUCUGUGAGCAGAGAAACGGUGUGGCAAAGAAUUACUCUGGGCAUGUAAUCCAAAGCAAAGUGAACCUGCAGUCCUUUCGUAACUACAGUAGCAGAUGAUAAAAACCAAGAUGGAAAGAGUUACUCUGCCUGAAAGAAGACACAUGGUUAAAAACUGUGGAGAGGGAAGUGUAUGGGAGGGGUUACAGAGCGCUAGAAAAAGAUUCCUGAGAGUGAGGGUGGGUGCAAACGUGUAGCAGGCAACCCGCAGCAUCUGUGGGAGGGUGACAGGGCCCUGCCACAAUUGGUCAAUGCCUGCUCGCCAAGAAUGAGCUAUGCCAAAACCCCUGCUUAGAGUCGCAGAGCUGGCCAUGACCUAAAAUUGUCCAGGGACACAUCGGCCUCUAACACUGCAAGAUUUCCUCUUUCAAGCAAACCUCAAUUCUCGGUCUUAUUAAGGGAAUGUGACUUCACUGGACGCAGUAUAAAGAUCUUCAGAUGUCCUCCUGCCGGGGACUGCAGGGAUCACAGAAAGACCACCGAGGUCCAGGAGCUACCUGCAAGCGGAGAUCCCUCUGGACGCCCCCUGCCUCACCCAGCAAAGCCGGAUCACAACCCUGCGCUCUCAAACCUCUAAAAGGGCUUGAGGUGCUAAGAGGAAAGGAGGCCCGAGAUUGCCACGGCAUACGUGGGCUCCAAGGAGGGAGCCAGGAGUCACCGCCUGCUUGGGCUAAGGGUACCGCGUACGGAACGGCGGCGGGGGCGCGGCCCAGUUCUAGGAGAUGCGCCCAACGAAGAAGCGGAGGGACAGGGUCACGGGAUAGGGCAGACACCCGGCUGCUUUUUGUUUGCUAGACACCAGCGCCAGCCCCUGCCCGGCCCUCCCGGUCUCCUAAGGGGGGGGGGGUCUUAGGCUCCACAGCGCCCCCGACCGCCCUCCUGCACUCCUCACCGUCUCCAUUGCAAGAGGCGCCAGCUUGGUUUCCUCGCUUUAGGAAACUCUCUUGGGGCAGGCCCCGCCCCACAUCCGGUGCGGCGACGCCACUUCCGCCCACGUCAUGGCAGUCGCCAGACUGGGGCGGAAGGCAAGGAACCCACCCUUCCGGCGGUGGCGGGCCUCGGUAACCGCCCUCCCCCGCGUCCUCACGGGCCGCACGGAUCCGGCUGACGGCGAGGGUCACGGGACGGAGCCGCUUGUAUUUAAAAUGUUCUUUUUUUAUUUGUCGUUUAAAAACAAACUUGGAAGAAGCAAAAUCCAAAACUUGCCCUUUGCCUCUCGCAACAUAAAUUAUGUACAGUUCAGAAUGAUCGCUGAUACAAAACAUGCCAAGGACAGGGGCGCUGAGGGUGGAGGGAGAGAGGGCGCUUUAAAAAAGGGAACCAUUUCAUCCGUUGUUACGAAGGACCAACCUUGCUGU
rnacentral:antisense_RNA from 1 species